rnacentral:rRNA from 1 species
AUUGAACGCUGGCGGCAGGCCUAACACAUGCAAGUCGAGCGGGGUUUUCGGACCUAGCGGCGGACGGGUGAGUAAUGCGUAGGAAGCUACCCGACAGAGGGGGAUACCAGUUGGAAACGACUGUUAAUACCGCAUAAUGUCUACGGACCAAAGUGUGGGACCUUCGGGCCACAUGCUGUCGGAUGCGCCUACGUGGGAUUAGCUAGUUGGUGAGGUAAUGGCUCACCAAGGCGACGAUCUUUAGCUGGUCUGAGAGGAUGAUCAGCCACACUGGGACUGAGACACGGCCCAGACUCCUACGGGAGGCAGCAGUGGGGGAAUAUUGGACAAUGGGCGGAAAGACCUGAUCCAGCAAUGCCGCGUGAGUGAUGAAGGCCUUAGGGUUGUUAAAGACUCUUUACCUAGGGAUGAUAAUGACAGUAUCGGGAGGAAU